rnacentral:lncRNA from 1 species
CCUAAACAUUUAUCUUCACUUGAGUCCCAGGCUACAUUUCUACAGCCUGCACUGUACUGUUGGUUUCUAUGGGUCACUUCUUCAAAGUAAGUUCAUGGUCUGAACUUUUGGGUAGACCUGUGCAGUGUCAAGAGUUGGACUUGAUGAUCCUUAAGGGUUCCUUCCAACUCAGGAUAUUCUAUGAUUCUAUGAUUCUAUGAUUCUAAGUAAUUGAGAAGUACUCUGACUAUGCCUAUGCAGCCACCUUCCAGUGCAAAUUAUCUGGACUGUUGCUGAAGUUGUUUUCAUUGCACUGAUUUUUACUUCUGUUUAUUUGCAAAACCCCUCUAUUCUCACGUGAGACCAGUAGAGAAGAGAUACCACACCAUAAAAUGAAGAAAUCCAUUGGUCACUUUGUACUGAUUUAUAGCUAUACCUCUACAAGACAGAAUGGCAGCAGAAACACCUGGAGAACCUCAGAAUUCUGUGAUACUCAGUAUUUUGUGAUACUUGCGGAAUAUCUGCAUGAUUCACUGUGCCACCUAAUGCAAAGCAUUGAAUUAUAACAUGGCUAUGGAGAA